GGAUUUACGGGUACGGGGAUUAGGGUUCGAUUCCGGAGAGGGAGCCUGAGAAACGGCUACCACAUCCAAGGAAGGCAGCAGGCGCGCAAAUUACCCAAUCCCGAUACGGGGAGGUAGUGACAAUAAAUAACAAUACAGGGCUCUUAUGGGUCUUGUAAUUGGAAUGAGUACAAUUUAAAUCCCUUAACGAGGAACAAUUGGAGGGCAAGUCUGGUGCCAGCAGCCGCGGUAAUUCCAGCUCCAAUAGCGUAUAUUAAAGUUGUUGCAGUUAAAAAGCUCGUAGUUGAAUUUCGGGGUUCUACCGUUGGUCGGGCAAUAGUCUGUACUGGCGUGUAGAAUUUCUACCUUCUGGGGAACCAUCAUGUUAUUUAUUUAGCGUGGUGGGAAACCAGGACCUUUACCUUGAAAAAAUUAGAGUGUUCAAAGCAGGCUUACGUCUGAAUACAUUAGCAUGGAAUAAUAAAAUAGGACGGUGGUCCUGUUUUGUUGGUUUCUGAAUCACCGUAAUGAUUAAUAGGGAUAGUUGGGGGCAUUAGUAUUCAAUUGUCAGAGGUGAAAUUCUUGGAUUUAUUGAAGACUAACUUCUGCGAAAGCAUUUGCCAAGGAUGUUUUCAUUAAUCAAGAACGAAAGUUAGGGGAUCGAAGACGAUCAGAUACCGUCGUAGUCUUAACCAUAAACUAUGCCGACUAGGGAUCGGACGAUGUUAAUUUUUCUUGACUCGUUCGGCGCCUUACGGGAAACCAAAUUUUUUGGGGUUUCAA
rnacentral:rRNA from 1 species